rnacentral:rRNA from 1 species
CGGCUAACUCCGUGCCAGCAGCCGCGGUAAUACGGAGGGUGCAAGCGUUACUCGGAAUCACUGGGCGUAAAGCGCGCGCAGGCGNUCUUUUAAGUUGGAUGUGAAAGCCUACGGCUCAACCGUAGAACUGCAUCCAAAACUAUUAGACUAGAGUGUGGGAGAGGAAGAUGGAAUUAGUUGUGUAGGGGUAAAAUCCGUAGAGAUAACUAGGAAUACCAAAAGCGAAGGCAAUCUUCUGGGGCACUACUGACGCUGAGGCGCGAAAGCGUGGGGAGCAAACAGGAUUAGAUACCCUGGUAGUCCACGCAGUAAACGAUGAAUGUUAGUCGUCGGGGGCCUAGUGUCUUCGGUGAUGCGGCUAACGCAUUAAACAUUCCGCCUGGGGAGUACGGUCGCAAGAUUAAAACUCAAAGGAAUAGACGGGGACCCGCACAAGUGGUGGAGCAUGUGGUUUAGUUCGAAGAUACGCGAAGAACCUUACCUAGCCUUGACAUAUAUAAGAAUCUUUCAGAGAUGAGAGAGUGCCUUCGGGAGCUUUUAUACAGGUGCUGCACGGCUGUCGUCAGCUCGUGUCGUGAGAUGUUGGGUUAAGUCCCGCAACGAGCGCAACCCUCGUCACUAGUUACUAACGGUUCGGCCGAGGACUCUAGUGAGACUGCCUUCGCAAGGAGGAGGAAGGUGAGGACGACGUCAAGUCAUCAUGGCCCUUACGGCUAGGGCAACACACGCGCUACAAUGGCCAGGACAGUGAGACGCGAUACCGCGAGGUGGAGCAAAUCUAUAAACCUGGUCUCAGUUCGGAUUGUAGUCUGCAACUCGACUACAUGAAGCUGGAAUCACUAGUAAUCGUAGAUCAGCUAUGCUACGGUGAAUACGUUCCCGGGUCUUGCACACNNNNNCCGUCAAUCCCGCGGCCAUGGCGGCCGGGAGCAUGCGACGUCGGGCCCANUCGCCC